UGGGUUUCUGUGAAAAGCCCUGAAGUAUGCUCUGGAAGGAUUCCAGGAAAACAGCCUGGGAGUUUGUCCCCUAUCCCAGAACAGGGAAGAUGGCAAGAUAGCCUAGAAGGGCUCCUGUGAGGAGACUCUAGGGAAGGAGCCUAGGAAUCAGGGGUCUCCCCUAGAGCUGGAGAGACUUAAAGGUAACCCAUGAGGGACAGAACUGAGUCUGGAGAAUGGGCUGGAAAGGAACCCAAGUGGGGUGAAAGUACUUUUGUGGUUGUUUUUGAUUCUUGUUGGGACCUUUGUUAUCCUGGAAGGGGAUUAAAUUCUAAGGGUGACCCAGCUGGAGGGAUGAGCUGUGCAAAUUCCUGGGAGAGACAGAAAAUCCUGGUGAUGGAAACUGAGGUGAAUAGGAAAAGGAUGUUCCUGAAACAGAGGGAGCAGGAGGUUCUGUUCCACCCUGACAAGCUGGGAUGCUGAAUCUACUAUUCGGGACAGCAUGCUGUGCACAGCAAUCUGGAGGUUUUGCUUGCUGCUCUUCUGCCUUCCUCCUGCUCCUGAACCCGACUAGACCUGGCUGCUUCCAGACCCUGUCCCAUGUCAUGCAGAGCCGGGCCAGACAUACCUGUGCUGAGCAGUGAAGAGGCCUGAUCCAAUUUGUAGUGGGGGUGGCAGGGUCUGGCA